rnacentral:rRNA from 1 species
AGAGUUUGAUCCUGGCUCAGAAUGAACGCUGGCGGCGUGCCUAACACAUGCAAGUCGUACGAGAAAGGGGCUUCGGCCCUGAGUAGAGUGGCGCACGGGUGAGUAACACGUAGAUAAUCUGCCUUCAAGCCUGGGAUAACUAUUCGAAAGGGUAGCUAAUACCGGAUAAAGUCGAUCUACACAAGUAGAUUGAUGAAAGAUUGCCUCUUCUUGAAAGCAAUUGUUUGGAGAUGAGUUUGCGUACCAUUAGCUUGUUGGUGGGGUAAAGGCCUACCAAGGCAACGAUGGUUAGCUGGUCUGAGAGGAUGAUCAGCCACACUGGAACUGGAACACGGUCCAGACUCCUACGGGAGGCAGCAGUGAGGAAUUUUGCGCAAUGGGGGCAACCCUGACGCAGCAACGCCGCGUGAGUGAAGAAGGCCUUUGGGUCGUAAAGCUCUGUCAACAGGGAAGAAGUUACAAUUGUUUAAUAGAUGGUUGUAUUGACGGUACCUGUGGAGGAAGCGCCGGCUAACUCCGUGCCAGCAGCCGCGGUAAUACGGGGGGCGCAAGCGUUAUUCGGAAUUAUUGGGCGUAAAGGGCGCGCAGACGGUCUUGUCCGUCAGGUGUGAAAGCUCGGGGCUCAACCCCGGAAGUGCACUUGAAACAGCAAGACUUGAAUACGGGAGAGGAAAGCGGAAUUCCUGGUGUAGAGGUGAAAUUCGUAGAUAUCAGGAGGAACACCGAUGGCGAAGGCAGCUUUCUGGACCGAUAUUGACGCUGAGGCGCGAAGGCGUGGGUAGCAAACGGGAUUAGAUACCCUGGUAGUCG